CGUUGUAGGGGUUCCUGCGGAGGGAUCAUUACACAACAAAAAUAUGAGGGUGUGGUUUGCUGGCAACAGCGUCCGCCCCAAGUAUUUUUCACCCAUGUCUUUUGCGCACUUUUUGUUUCCUGGGCGAGUUCGCUCGCCACCAGGACCCAACCAUAAACCUUUUUUUAUGCAGUUGCAAUCAGCGUCAGUAUAAUAAUUCAAUUUAUUAAAACUUUCAACAACGGAUCUCUUGGUUCUGGCAUCGAUGAAGAACGCAGCGAAAUGCGAUACGUAGUGUGAAUUGCAGAAUUCAGUGAAUCAUCGAAUCUUUGAACGCACAUUGCGCCCUUUGGUAUUCCAAAGGGCAUGCCUGUUCGAGCGUCAUUUGUACCCUCAAGCUUUGCUUGGUGUUGGGCGUCUUUUUGUCUCUCCCCUUGUUGGGGGAGACUCGCCUUAAAACGAUUGGCAGCCGACCUACUGGUUUUCGGAGCGCAGCACAAAUUUGCGCCUUCCAAUCCACGGGGCGGCAUCCAGCAAGCCUUUGUUUUCUAUAACAAAUCCACAUUUUGACCUCGGAUCAGGUAGGGAUACCCGCUGAACUUAAGCAUAUCAAACG
rnacentral:rRNA from 1 species